rnacentral:lncRNA from 1 species
CACAUGUUGGAGUGGGCACCAAACAAUACCAGAAUAACAUUCCCCUCUCUGGUCUCAAAAGAUGGAUGAGCCUCCAUGACCCCAUGAGAACAGAGGCAACCAGGGAAAAUCAACAGGGAUUGUUAAUAGAGAGAAGCCCACGCUGGACAGCAGAAGCCAUUGGCCAGGCACACAGCAGAGGAUCCAGCCUGCUGUUUGUAAUAAACUCUGAAAUGUGUGUCUAGCAGAUGCUGCUGACACAGGAAGCAUGUCACGAAGUACAAUGGUACUGCUGUGGAGCGAUGGAGCAGGUGAGUCUGUUAAAUGAUACAAUCUGCUCCCCUCUUCCACAUCAGCACUCAGAUCCUGGUUUCAGGAGCAGCCACUAGAGCCUUGUCCUCUCCAAACCAGGUUUUUCCUCUUCUCCCUGAUUACAGGGAGAGAGUAAGGUGACUGCCUCCACCCCCUCUACAAAUUCGGUAGUCCAGCUCUGAGCAGAGGGCCCUGUGCAGAUCCAGUGGCGUUAGGAGGCCGAAAGCCUUUGGUAAUCUGUAACUCUCAAGUAUAUGCAUGUUGUGAGGGCAACCACAGGAGAUUUUGAAGUCAACCUGCUUCUUUUUCAAAUCCUGUCUCCAUUGCCUUCUAGCUAGGAAAUGUUGGGAAUAUUCCUUGACUUCUCUCAUCUUCCAGUUUUCUCAGCUCUAGAAUGGAGCUUCUAAGACCUAUUCCUCAGGGUGGGAUUAAGAGAAAGAACAUGUGAAGCCCUUAGCUCUGUGUCUGUC